AGCGAACGCUGGCGGCGUGCCUAACACAUGCAAGUCGAACGUGAAAGGGAGCAAUCCCAAGUAAAGUGGCGUACGGGUGAGUAACACGUAGGUAAUCUACCCCAGAAUCUGGAAUAACCGGCCGAAAGGCUGGCUAAUACUGGAUAGAGCGACGGAAUCCGUAAUUGGGUUUUUCGGGAAAGGGAGCCUGUAAAAAGGCCUUCGUUCUGGGAUGAGCCUGCGUCCCAUCAGCUAGUUGGUGAGGUAAAAGCUUACCAAGGCAAUGACGGGUAGCUGGUCUGAGAGGACGAUCAGCCCCACUGGAACUGAAACACGGUCCAGACGCCUACGGGAGGCAGCAGUGGGGAAUCUUGCGCAAUGGACGAAAGUCUGACGCAGCAAAGCCGCGUGAGUGAAGAAGGCCUUCGGGUUGUAAAGCUCUGUCGAGUGGGACGAAAAUGCUUGGAGUUCACAGCUCCAGGAACUGACGGUACCACUAAAGGAAGCACCGGCUAACUCCGUG
rnacentral:rRNA from 1 species